UCCAUGAUGGCUCAGAGCUUAAAGCAUCUGCCUGCAAUGCAGGAGACCUGGGUUUGAUCCCUUGGUCUGGAA
rnacentral:tRNA from 1 species